rnacentral:rRNA from 1 species
UAAUACGUAGGGUGCAAGCGUUGUUCGGAAUCAUUGGGCGUAAAGCGCGUGCAGGCGGUUAGUUAAGUCGGGUGUGAAAUCCCUGGGCUUAACCGAGGAAGUGCAUUCGAAACUAACUAGCUAGAAGACAGUAGAGGAAGGUGGAAUUCCAAGUGUAGAGGUGAAAUUCGUAGAUAUUUGGAGGAAUACCGGCGGCGAAGGCGGCCUUCUGGACUGUUCUUGACGCUGAGACGCGAAAGCGUGGGUAGCAAACAGGAUUAGAUACCCUGGUAGUCCACGCCGUAAACGAUGGGUACUAGGUGUUGCAGGAAUUGACCCCUGCAGUGCCGACGCUAACGCAUUAAGUACCCCGCCUGGGAAGUACGGCCGCAAGGUUA